AUGAAGUUGCCUGUUAGGCUGUUGGUGCUGUUGUUCUGGAUUCCUGCUUCCAGCAGUGAUGCUGUGAUGACACAAACUACACUCUCCCUGCCUGUCAGUCUUGGAGAUCAAGCCUCCGUCUCUUGCAGGUCUAGUCAGAGCCUUGUACAUAGUAAUGGAAACACCUAUUUGAACUGGUACCUUCAGAAGCAAGGCCAGUCUCCACAGCUCCUGAUCUACAGGGUUUCCAAUCGAUUUUCUGGGGUCCCAGACAGGUUCAGUGGCAGUGGGUCAGGGACAGAUUUCACACUCCAGAUCAGCAGAGUGGAGGCAGAGGAUUUGGGAGUUUAUUUCUGCCUCCAAGUUACACAUGUCCCUCCCACAGUGAUACAGACUCUAACAAAAACAUUCUUGCUAGGGGUGUCCCAGCUGCCACAUAUGUUAUUCACUUGUAAGAGAGAGGUGCUGAGGAACUCCAGAUUAUUGGUUGCAGCUGAGGGCAAGUGCAGCCUGGCUGCAGAUCACUCGUCACUCAUUUUUGGCUUCAUUGCAACAAUAAAAAUGUUAUUGCACCUGCCUCGGGAGAAUAGUAAACAGGUGCCUCCCAGACAACAGAAAAGAGUGAGAAAAAAGCUGAGUGAAAACUCAUUUGGAUUCAGCAGGACUUGA